UCCUGCCUGCUCCACCUUCACGGUGUUGGUCAACAGUAAACUCAACUGACUUUUCAUGGGGACGAUUGCACACCUCCCAGGAAGCCAACAAACAGGCUGCAUUUCCCUUCUCUGACUUCAGUCUGCUAGAAUUGGUAAGGCUUCUGAUGCAGCUGCUAUCUGCAGACCUCCUGGACUGCCCAAGGAAGGGAGUGGGAGCUCCUGCUCCAGAUGGAUGGAAUAGCUACAAGAAGGAUUGAAGGUGGCCAAAAAUAACAGUGCCUUCCAGAUGAGGUGACCUCAGAGCCAAGAGCAUCAUGGGGUAGAGUAUCUUGUUCCUAGUUUUAUGACCUAAAAAGUACACAGAAGAUUCUAAGAUACUACAGAGGGAAGGAAUAAAGUAUUCAGAGAACAAGGAAAUGUGAUUAAUUAUUUUUUUAAUUGAAUUUCUUGUCCACACAUGUACACAUAUAUAAACACAAGCCUUAUAUAUGUAUGAAAAGAGAACCUAGAUCUCUAGUUUGAUAGACAGAUAGACAAAUAGAUAUCACAAAAUACAGUGGAAGACCAAAAUGAAGAUGAUAAAGACAAUGUUGCCUUCCUUUGUUUGCUGUGGAAAUAAGUUUAAUAAACCUUCAUUGAGAACCAA